GCAUUUGCCAUGUGUCUAUUAAAU
rnacentral:siRNA from 1 species